rnacentral:lncRNA from 1 species
UCUGGCCAGCCAGGCAGGGUCCUGGGCACCGGGUCGGAGGAGCUGGGUGCAGACCCUCAGCCUCCCGGGCGCCCGCACAGUGAGCUCUUCCGGCAGGAUUUUCCUGGCAGCGGCUGGAAUGCCCAGCCCCAGCUCCCAAUGCGGUUCCAUCUCCUGGGUCACCUCUACCCAGCUGGCACCAGCACAGAGCUGCUGGAACCCACGGCCUUCAGAAUACCCCAUGGGCGGCUGACAUUCCAUCGCCCGUGAACUCUGCCAGGUAGGGUCCUCCCAGCACACAGUAGAUCCUUGCUGUGCUUUGGAUGAGUGGAUGCACAGCAGGAGGGUGGGGACCAGCUCUGAACGGCUGCAAAAGCCCGCCAGUGGUCUGGGUGGGGCUUUGGGACCCUAAUAUGCUGAGCUGGACCUAAGUGGGGAUUGGGGGCAGUUGUGAGC